rnacentral:rRNA from 1 species
GAUGAACGCUGGCGGCGUGCCUAACACAUGCAAGUCGAGCGAACAGACGAGGAGCUUGUUCCUCUGAGGUUAGCGACGGACGGGUGAGUAACACGUGGAUAACCAACCUAUAUGACUGGGGUAACUUCGGGAAACCGGAGCUAAUACCGGAUAAUAUAUUCAACCGCAUGGUUCAAUAGUGACUGAUGGUUUUGCUGUUACUUAUAGAUGGUUCCGCGCCGCAUUAGCUAGUUGGUAAGGUAACGGCUUACCAAGGCGACGAUGCGUAGCCGACCUGAGAGGGUGAUCGGCCACACUGGAACUGAGACACGGUCCAGACUCCUACGGGAGGCAGCAGUAGGGAAUCUUGGGCAAUGGGCGAAAGCCUGAUGCAGCAAUGCCGCGUGGGUGAAGAAGGCCUUCGGGUCGUAAAGCCCUGUUAUUAGGGAAGAACAACUGCGUAUUUAUCUGUAGACGUCUUGACGGUACCUAAUGAAUAAGCAACGGCUAACUACGUG